AUUAGCAUACAUUUAUUUUAUGAGUUCAUAUUUGUACAAAAGAGCAUCUCAAUCACAAAGAACAAUGAAGAGUUUUAGCUGAACCCCUUUUUGAAAUCAGGGGUUUACAGAAGCCAGAUGCAGCCCUCCAACAGCUGGCACAUUCAAUUUACCUGUGAAUUUUUGCUUGGGAUUUGCCCUACCAGUGAUAUAUUGACUCAGCUAAGUAGCUUCAAAUGGUGACAGUUUUACAUGACAACUUGUACUGGAGUCCCAGGAUACACUUUGACUGGUCCAGAAAACCUUGAAAGAGAAGUGGUAGGAUUUUGAUUUCAUGGGCCACAUUGAACAACCACACACAUUGUAUAUUACAAAUAUAAAUGUUAUACCCCUGAAAUCCACAACAAGCACAAAAUACAGUCUUCGUACUGCAAUAUGGUAAGAAAUGUCACACCAUCCCUUAUUAUACAACGAAUAUGACUUGAUGGGAGAGCAGCAUUCAGCAAACAUGCUGGAGGCUUUCGUAGCAUUUAUUCAAGCUGGGACUCUGGGAUGCAACAACAAACACAGUAGUACGAUAUUCUGCGAGUGGGUAUACCCAGGCCGGGCAUUUACAAGGAAUAGAAAGAUCAGGCCAGGUACGGUGGCUCAUGCCUGUAAUCGCAGCACUUUGGGAGGCCAAGGUGGGCAAAUCAUGAGGUCAGGAGAUCGAGACCAUCCUGGCUAACAUGGUGAAACCCCGUCUCUACUAAAAAUACAAAAAUUAGCCGAGCAUGGUGGCGGGCGCCUGUAGUCCCAGUUACUCAGGAGGCUGAGGCAGGAGAAUCACUUGAAUCCGGGAAGCGGAGGUUGCAGUGAGCCGAGAUCGCGCCACUGCACUCCAGCCUGGGCUACAGAGGGAGACUCCAUCUCAAAAAAAAAAAAAAAGGAAAAGAAAAAAAAAGAAUCAUCAGAGAAGCCGGGCACAGUGAUUCACAACUGUAAUCCCAGCACUUUGGGAAGCCGAGGUGGGUGGAUCACUUGAGGUCAGGAGUUCAAGACCAGCCUGGACAACAUGGUGAAACUCCAUCUCUACUAAAAAUACAAAAAUUAGCUGGGUGUGGUGGCAAAUGUCUGUAAUCACAGCCACUCAGGGGGCUGAGGCAGGAGAAUCACUUGAACCAGGGAGGCGGAGGUUGCAGUGAGCCGAGACUGUGGCACUGCACUUCAACCUGGGCAACCAAGCAAGACGUUUCAAAAAAAAAAAAAACAGUCAACAGAGAGCUACACUUCUUGACUAUGGAUUUGCAAGAAGUUCACAUAUGUGUGUGGAGAUGGCAGGAAAAGGUGUAUCCCAACCACUGCACAAGAGAAAAGGAUGGUGAUCUGAGGCUAGACAGCCAGCUUGGGAAAGGGGCAAAAAUCAGUCUUCGAGGUUUUAGGUUAUGUCAAUCAAGUGAAUUCUAAAAUUUCCUUCUGUUUCUUGGCACUUGCUGGGAAUGCAAGAAUCCAAUAGGAGUUUCUGCCUGCUUGGGAGGGGGUCUCUUACCUGCACCCUGGGCGCCAGGGUAGGGGUGUAGAGACAGAACAUCCAUUUUUUGGCUUUGAUAAGGGGGCGAAAUAGGGGUGGCUUCCCAGAAAUAAGAAAGGGGGUUGAGGCCAGCCACAGUGGUUUAUGCCUGUAAUCUCAGCACUUUGGGAGGCCGAGGCAGGCAAAUCACUUGAGUUCGGGAGUUCGAGACCAGCCUGACCAACAUGGCGAAACCCCAUCUC
rnacentral:lncRNA from 1 species